rnacentral:lncRNA from 1 species
GCCCAGGCUGGAGUGCAGUGUCAUGAGCUUGGUUCACUAAAGCCUCCAUCCUCUGGGCUUAAGGAUCCUCCGCUCUCAACCUCCAGGGUAGCUGAGACUACAGGCAACAUUCGAAACCCAGGCGCCACUGCUUCAGGAAGGUACCUUCAAGCUCCAAGGACUCUUGUCCUCUUUCUCCUUCCCCACUACCUAGUCAUUAGAGCGUCAGCAUCCACUUCUUGAAAGGAAGAUGCCUGUUUUUCACAUAUCCCAGAAAGCCCCAUUUUAGGACACCAUUUAGCAGAGUAUAUUCAGGACCCCACUAACGUUUUUGGAACACAUGACUUCCGGAUGAUAUAAGGCUCCAUCAGGAACUGUUCAGGACCGUGCACUCUGUUGAUACUCACAUGGUGGAAUUAUAUUACCCUUGGCCAACCCUAAAGCCAUCAAGAUAGCAGGUUUGGAAUAAUUCACUGUUGAAGUCUUCUUGAGCUGAGCAGUCAUGUGAGCUUGGAAGAUGAUCCGUCUCCAGCUGAUCCUUCAGGUCAGACCUUCAGGUCAGGCCAUCAUCUACAUCUGGAUUCCUGACCCAGAGAAACUGUGAGUAAUGUGUGCUGCUUUUGAGCCACUAAGCUACAUGGUAAUAGGCUAUGCUGCAAUAAACAAUAGUAUACUUGA